AAAUUGAAGAGUUUGAUCAUGGCUCAGAUUGAACGCUGGCGGCAGGCCUAACACAUGCAAGUCGAGCGGUAGCA
rnacentral:rRNA from 2 species